rnacentral:rRNA from 1 species
AGCGAACGCUGGCGGCAGGCCUAGCACAUGCAAGUCGAACGGAUCCUUCGGGAUUAGUGGCGGACGGGUGAGUAACACGUGGGAACGUGCCCUUUGGUUCGGAACAACUCAGGGAAACUUGAGCUAAUACCGGAUGUGCCCUUCGGGGGAAAGAUUUAUCGCCAUUGGAGCGGCCCGCGUCUGAUUAGCUAGUUGGUGAGGUAACGGCCCACCAAGGCGACGAUCAGUAGCUGGUCUGAGAGGAUGAUCAGCCACACUGGGACUGGGACACGGCCCAGACUCCUACGGGAGGCAGCAGUGGGGAAUCUUGCGCAAUGGGCGAAAGCCUGACGCAGCCAUGCCGCGUGAAUGAUGAAGGUCUUAGGAUUGUAAAAUUCUUUCAGCGGGGACGAUAAUGACGGUACCCGCAGAAGAAGCUCCGGCUAACUUCGUG